rnacentral:tRNA from 1 species
GGAGAUUUGCCCGAGCGGUCGAAGGGGCGUGCCUGGAAAGCACGUAUACGCGCAAGCGUAUCGAGGGUUCGAAUCCCUCAGUCUCCGCCA